GACGUAGGGCGCGAGCGUUGUCCGGAUUUAUUGGGCGUAAAGAGCUCGUAGGCGGCUUGUCGCGUCGACUGUGAAAACCCGCGGCUCAACUGCGGGCCUGCAGCCGAUACGGGCAGGCUAGAGUCCGGUAGGGGAGACUGGAAUUCCUGGUGUAGCGGUGAAAUGCGCAGAUAUCAGGAGGAACACCGAUGGCGAAGGCAGGUCUCUGGGCAUUAACUGACGCUGAGGAGCGAAAGCAUGGGGAGCGAACAGG
rnacentral:rRNA from 1 species